rnacentral:rRNA from 1 species
UAGGGAAUCUUCGGCAAUGGACGAAAGUCUGACCGAGCAACGCCGCGAGAGUGAAGAAGGUUUUCGGAUCGUAAAACUCUGUUGUUAGAGAAGAACAAGGACGUUAGUAACUGAACGUCCCCUGACGGUAUCUAACCAGAAAGCCACGGCUAACUACGUGCCAGCAGCCGCGGUAAUACGUAGGUGGCAAGCGUUGUCCGGAUUUAUUGGGCGUAAAGCGAGCGCAGGCGGUUUCUUAAGUCUGAUGUGAAAGCCCCCGGCUCAACCGGGGAGGGUCAUUGGAAACUGGGAGACUUGAGUGCAGAAGAGUAGAGUGGAAUUCCAUGUGUAGCGGUGAAAUGCGUAGAUAUAUGGAGGAACACCAGUGGCGAAGGCGGCUCUCUGGUCUGUAACAGACGCUGAGGCUCGAAAGCGUGGGGAGCAAACAGG